GCAGGAACACCUGGAGGGGAGAAUGCUGUAGUGGAGGGGGAAGAGAGGCUCACAUAGUGAGAGGAAGAAAGCUGGAGUUCUCAAGAACUCCACCAAGCCAUGUUCUGUUGGAGCCCCUCCCCAGGACAUGAGAACUGCAUCCAAAACUUGGAUUUGGGGUGUGAAGAGGUCUCGGGGAACAAAUGGAUGGAACCACAGGCGAGUCUACUCUGUUGAUUUUAUUUUAUUAGGAAGAGUGAGUAUGCACAUCACACAUGGCGGGGAGGGGAAUGGAGAGGAAGAAGGAGAAGCAGAUCCACUGCUGAGCAAGGAGCCCCAAACAGGGCUUGAUUCCAGGACCCCAAGAUCAUGACCUGAGCUGACGGCAGACACUUGACUAACUGAGCCCCCCCAGGUGCACCUCUCCAUUUAUGUUUUUGGUACAGUUGGUUAUCCAAUUGUG